rnacentral:rRNA from 1 species
AGUGGCGGACGGGUGAGUAACGCGUGAGAAUCUGCCUUGGGGUCGGGGACAACCACUGGAAACGGUGGCUAAUACCGGAUACGCCUUCGGGUAAAAGAUUUAUUGCCCUAAGAGGAGCUCGCGUCUGAUUAGCUAGUUGGUGAGGUAAGAGCUCACCAAGGCAGCGAUCAGUAGCUGGUCUGAGAGGACGAUCAGCCACACUGGGACUGAGACACGGCCCAGACUCCUACGGGAGGCAGCAGUGGGGAAUUUUCCGCAAUGGGCGAAAGCCUGACGGAGCAAGACCGCGUGAGGGAGGAAGGCUCUUGGGUUGUAAACCUCUUUUCUCAGGGAAGAAGCUCUGACGGUACCUGAAGAAUCAGCCUCGGCUAACUCCGUGCCAGCAGCCGCGGUAAUACGGAGGAGGCAAGCGUUAUCCGGAAUUAUUGGGCGUAAAGCGUCCGCAGGUGGCGAUUCAAGUCUGCUGUCAAAGCACGGGGCUUAACUCCGUAAAGGCAGUGGAAACUGAAUAGCUAGAGUGCCGUAGGGGUAGAGGGAAUUCCCGGUGUAGCGGUGAAAUGCGUAGAGAUCGGGAAGAACAUCGGUGGCGAAAGCGCUCUACUGGACGGCAACUGACACUCAGGGACGAAAGCUAGGGGAGCGAAUGGGAUUAGAUACCCC